CAGUCGCCACGGUAAUACGUAGGGUGCGAGCGUUAAUCGGAAUUACUGGGCGUAAAGCGUGCGCAGGCGGCGACAUAAGACAGAUGUGAAAUCCCCGGGCUCAACCUGGGAACGGCGUUUGUGACUGUGUGGCUAGAGUGUAGCAGAGGGGGGUGGAAUUCCACGUGUAGCAGUGAAAUGCGUAGAGAUGUGGAGGAACACCGAUGGCGAAGGCAGCCCCCUGGGUUAACACUGACGCUCAUGCACGAAAGCGUGGGGAGCAAACAGGAUUAGAUACCCCGGUAGUCCCUGUCUCUUAUAC
rnacentral:rRNA from 1 species